UGUGACAAGAUGUGAAGGUAUGCUG
rnacentral:piRNA from 1 species